GGAAGCCUUAGUUUAAUUAAAAUGUCUGAUUUGCAUUCAGGAGAUGUAGAGUAGUUCUAUAGGUUUUA
rnacentral:tRNA from 1 species